UGGAGUUGCUAAACAAAAAAAUCGACAUCUUAUUGAAUUUUCCCGUACCUUACUUAAACACCAUCAUGUUCCCCUUCAUUUUUGGGGAGUUGUUGUUCUCACUACUCGCUAUUUAAUUAACCAAAUGUCUUCCUCUUUGUUGCAGCAUCAAAGUCCUCACUCAAUUCUAUUUCUAGAUAAAGAUUUCCAUCAUUUGUCAUGGCGUGUGCAUAGCUGUACUUGUUUUGUCUAUGAUCAAACUCUUGGAACAGAUAAACUGCAGCCUAAACCUGUUAAGCGUGUCUUUCUCGGAUACUCACACUUUCAAAGAGGUUACAAAUGCUAUAAUCCAACAACAAACAAAUAUUUUAUUUCAGCAAAUGUAACCUUUUUUGAAACAUUCCCAUGUUUUGUCACCAAACAUCAAAACCAAAAAAUGCAUUUCAAAAGUUUUACUUGUUCCUCUUCUUUCCCCAUCACAAGUCAAUGUUCCUAGUCCUCAUUCUUCUGUUAACACAAUUAAUCCUUUUCUUCAUGAUAUAGGUACAAUGGCUGCUCCUAAUGACUCAUCACCUAUUCCUCCGUCACCUACUCCAGUCAUGCCUUCAGUAGAAACAGCAUCUCCUCCCAUUGCCUGCUGCAAAGGUGUUCGUUCCUUUCAAAACUCACAUCCUAUUUAUAAUUUUUUUACUUAUAAUCGUUUAUCACCAUCCUAUUAUGCCUUUGUUUCCGCCUAGUUUAAUAUUUCAAUACCCAAGAUUGUUAGAGAAGCAUUGGAU
rnacentral:misc_RNA from 1 species